rnacentral:rRNA from 1 species
CAUGAAGCUGGAAUCGCUAGUAAUCGCGGAUCAGAAUGCCGCGGUGAAUACGUUCCCGGGUCUUGUACACACCGCCCGUCACACCAUGGGAGUCGGAAAUGCCCGAAGUCUGUGACCCAACCUUAGGGAGGGAGCAGCCGAAGGCAGGUCGGAUGACUGGGGUGAAGUCGUAACAAGGUAAC